rnacentral:lncRNA from 1 species
GGUGACAGCAGAGUCCUGGCUUGGAGUCGGGUUACACCACUUGUGUCUGAGUUCACGCAGCAUGUUCCUCUGUCAGGGAUUCCGCAAAUAUCUCCCUGAGCACCUCAAUGACCUGAAGAAGGAGAACUUCAGCCUCAAGCUGCGCAUCUACUUCCUGGAGGAGCGCAUGCAACAGAAGUAUGAGGCCAGCCGGGAGGACAUCUACAAGCGGAACACUGAGCUGAAGGUUGAAGUGGAGAGCUUGAAACGAGAACUCCAGGACAAGAAACAGCAUCUGGAUAAAACAUGGGCUGAUGUGGAGAAUCUCAACAGUCAGAAUGAAGCUGAGCUCCGACGCCAGUUUGAGGAGCGACAGCAGGAGACGGAGCAUGUUUAUGAGCUCUUGGAGAAUAAGAUGCAGCUUCUGCAGGAGGAAUCCAGGCUAGCAAAGAAUGAAGCUGCGCGGAUGGCAGCUCUGGUGGAAGCAGAGAAGGAGUGUAACCUGGAGCUCUCAGAGAAACUGAAGGGAGUCACCAAAAACUGGGAAGAUGUACCAGGAGACCAGGUCAAGCCCGACCAAUACACUGAGGCCCUGGCCCAGAGGGACAAG